rnacentral:rRNA from 1 species
ACGUGAGUAACCUGCCCUUGACUCUGGGAUAAGCCUGGGAAACUGGGUCUAAUACCGGAUAGGAACGUCCACCGCAUGGUGGUUGUUGGAAAGAUUUAUCGGUCAUGGAUGGACUCGCGGCCUAUCAGCUUGUUGGUGAGGUAAUGGCUCACCAAGGCGACGACGGGUAGCCGGCCUGAGAGGGUGACCGGCCACACUGGGACUGAGACACGGCCCAGACUCCUACGGGAGGCAGCAGUGGGGAAUAUUGCACAAUGGGCGAAAGCCUGAUGCAGCGACGCCGCGUGAGGGAUGACGGCC